GGCCUCGUGGCAGAGUGGUCAUGCAGCGCCCUGCAAAGGCGUGGACGUCGGUUCGAUUCCGGCCGAGGCCUCCA
rnacentral:tRNA from 1 species